rnacentral:rRNA from 1 species
UAGCAAUACUUUUCAAGACCGGCGCACGGGUGAGUAACACGUAGGUAAUCUACCCUCAGGCGGGGAACAACCUCGAGAAAUCGGGGCUAAUACCGCAUAAUGCAACGAGAUCACAUGAUUUUGUUGUUAAAGAUCCGCAAGGAUCACCCGAGGAUGAACCUGCGUCCGAUUAGCUAGUUGGCGGAGUAACGGCCCACCAAGGCGACGAUCGGUAGCCGACCUGAGAGGGUGCUCGGCCACACUGGAACUGAGACACGGUCCAGACCCCUACGGGAGGCAGCAGUGAGGAAUAUUGGUCAAUGGCCGAAAGGCUGAACCAGCAACGCCGCGUGAGGGAUGAAGGUCUAAGGAUUGUAAACCUCUGUUAGGAGGGACGAACGGUCCCGUAACGAACUUACGGGAUGUGACGGUACCUCCAGAGAAAGCCCCGGCUAACUCCGUGCCAGCAGCCGCGGUAAUACGGGGGGGGCAAGCGUUGUCCGGAAUUAUUGGGUGUAAAGGGUGCGUAGGCGGAAUGGUAAGUCAGAAGUGCAAUACUCGCGCUUAACGCGGGCACUGCUUUUGAUACUGCCGUUCUUGAGUGCAGAAAAGGGAAGUAGAAUUCUCGGUGUAGCGGUGAAAUGCGUAGAUAUCGAGAAGAAUACCAGUAGCGAAGGCGGCUUCCUGGUCUGUAACUGACGCUGAGGCACGAAAGUGUGGGUAGCAAACAGGAUUAGAUACCCUGGUAGUCCACACUGUAAACGAUGGACACUAGAUGUCGGAUCGCAAGGUUCGGCGUCGGCGCUAACGCAUUAAGUGUCCCACCUGGGAAGUACGGCCGCAAGGUUGAAACUCAAAGGAAUUGACGGGGGCCCGCACAAGCGGUGGAGUAUG